rnacentral:rRNA from 1 species
AGCAGCCGCGGUAAUUCCAGCUCCAAUAGCGUAUAUUAAAGUUGUUGCCGUUAAAAAGCUCGUAGUUGAAUUUCCGCGGGCUCGCUAGGUCCGCCUCGCGGCGAGUACUUUGCGGGUCCGCGUUCCCUGGUGGUGAGCUCGGAUGCCGUUCGUUCGGUGUUCGAGUGAACCGCCUCUGUUACCUUGAGAAAAU